UUCCUGAUGCUGCCAUGGGCUCCAGGCUCCUCUGCUGUGUGACUCUCUGCCUCCUGGGAGCAGGCCUGGUGGAUUCUGAAGUCACCCAGACCCCCAAGAACCUGAUCAAAUCAAGAAAAUGGCAAGUGACUCUGAGAUGUUCCCCUGAGUCUGGACACAGUUCCGUGUACUGGUACCAACAGGCCCUGGGACAGAGCCCCCAGUUCCUUGUUCAGUAUUAUGAUGUGGAAAUGUAUCAAAAAGGAAACAUAUCAGAUCGGGUCUCAGGAAAACAGUUCAGUGAUGCUGCCCCUGAACUGAGCCUGACCCCCUUGGAGCUGACAGACUCAGCCGUGUAUCUCUGUGCCAGCAGCCAAGACACAGCCCUGCAUGAUCAGGUGCCUCUGGGACAAAAACACUCCUGCCCCAGCUCAGGAAGUGGUGCCCGUGUGUCAGCUGCCAGCCUGCCAAGCCCAGUCUCUGGUAGAGCGAGAGACUUUCCCAGACAUUUACCUCUUGGUAUGUUUUAAUGCUCAUUAAAGUCAUCAAAAUAAGUAUAAUUUUAACUAUUUGUACAUCUGAGGGGUCGUGAGUUGCCCAGAUCUCGUACCUCAUAAGUGUUAGAGCUGGCAUCCCGGCGCAAGUCUGCUCUCAACACCUCUGGUCCCUUCACUCAUGAAACUGUCUUGUACAAGCAAAUUACAUAUACCUGUUGU